rnacentral:rRNA from 1 species
GACGAACGCUGGCGGCGUGCUUAACACAUGCAAGUCGAACGGUGAAGCUCCAGCUUGCUGGAGUGGAUCAGUGGCGAACGGGUGAGUAACACGUGAGCAACCUGCCCCUGACUCUGGAAUAAGCGCUGGAAACGGCGUCUAAUACUGGAUACGAGAAGGGUCCGCAUGGGCACUUUCUGGAAAGUUUUUCGGUUGGGGAUGGGCUCGCGGCCUAUCAGCUUGUUGGUGAGGUAAUGGCUCACCAAGGCGACGACGGGUAGCCGGCCUGAGAGGGCGACCGGCCAAACUGGGACCGAGACACCGGCCAGACUCCUACGGGAGGCAGCAGUGGGGAAUAUUGCACAAUGGGCGAAAGCCUGAUGCAGCGACGCCGCGUGAGGGAUGACGGCCUUCGGGUUGUAAACCUCUUUCAGCAGGGAAGAAGCGAAAGUGACGGUACCUGCAGAAGAAGCACCGGCUAACUACGUG